rnacentral:rRNA from 1 species
GUGCCAGCCGCCGCGGUAAUACGGGGGGAGCGAACGUUGUUCGGAAUCACUGGGCGUAAAGGGCGCGUAGGCGGCCUCGUAAGUGGGAUGUGAAAGGCCCUGGCUCAACCAGGGACGUGCCUCCCAUACUGCGAGGCUUGAGUGCAGGAGAGGAUGGGGGAAUUCCCGGUGUAGCGGUGAAAUGCAUUGAUAUCGGGAGGAACACCAGUGGCGAAGGCGCCCAUCUGGCCUGUAACUGACGCUCAGGCGCGAAAGCUGGGGGAGCAAACAGGAUUAGAUACCCCAGUAGUCC